ensembl:lncRNA
UCCCGUUCCAGAUCGACUGCUCUGUGAUUCUGCAGAAAGUUUUUUAAACACUACUGCGCACUUUAGCUUUCAGUCCUCUAGUGUGUGAAUCCGUACUGAACAAUCGGGAGAUCAGAAGAGUGUGUCCUCGCAGGCUGAUUAUCGGAGCUGUUAUAAUGAGGACUACAGCCAGAAACCUCUUUUUACAUUUUUUUUUGAACAAUAACACGCUCAGACGUCAGUGUGUAAGUGAUGUGAUUCGUCUCACAUACACAGGGAUAUCUUUCAUAUGUGCGUAUGUGUGUAUAAAAUAAAGGAAUGUCACUACACGCUGUGCGUUUCAGUAUCUCUGCUCUAGACAAAGAAGCUUAGGACUUGAUAAUGUCUCGCCACGCCGAGUGUUUCCGUUCCAAACCAGAUGAGGAAGGAAGGCGUAAGGACCGGCAGGAAAAGGAACGAAUGCUUCAACAUACACACACACACACACACACACACACACACACACACACACACACAUGCACACAUGCACACUAACAAGUACUGUGGUUUAUCAAUAGCAGGAAAGGGAGGAGAAGACAGGGGAGAGAAUAGAGGGAAAUGAGCAGAGCAAUAACAAAUCAACACUACAGAGUGAGGGAGUGAGUUAGUGAUUUUGUGAGGGAGUGAAUGAGUUAGGGAGUGGAUGAGGGAAUGAGUUAGUGAGGGAGUUAGUGAGGGAGUGAAUGAGGGAGUGAGUGAAUAAGGGAGUGAGUGAGUGAGUGAAUGAGGGAGUGAAUGAGUGAGUGAGUGAAUGAGGGAGUGAAUGAGGGAGUGAAUGAGUGAAUGAGGGAGUGAGUGAGGGAGUGAGUGAGUGAAUUAGUGAGUGAGUGAAUUGGUGAGUGAGUGAAUGAGGGAGUGAAUGAGGGAGUGAGUGAGUGAAUGAGGGAGUGAAUGAGGGAGUGAAUGAGUGAGUGAAUGAGGGAGUGAGUGAGGGAGUGAAUGAGGGAGUGAAUGAGGGAGUGAGUGAGUGAGUGAGUGAAUGAGGGAGUGAAUGAGGGAGUGAGUGAAUGAGUGAGUGAGUGAGUGAAUGAGUGAGUGAAUGAGGGAGUGAAUGAGUGAGUGAGUGAGUGAGUGAAUGAGUGAGUGAAUGAGGGAGUGAAUGAGUGAAUGAGGGAGUGAAUGAAUGAGGGAGUGAAUGAGGGAGUGAAUGAGGGAGUGAGUGAGUGAGGGAGUGAAUGAGGGAGUGAGUGAGGGAGUGAAUGAGGGAGUGAGUGAGUGAGUGAAUGAGGGAGUGAAUGAGGGAGUGAGUGAAUGAGGGAGUGAGUGAGGGAGUGAGGGAGUGAGUGAGUGAGUGAGUGAAUGAGGGAGUGAAUGAGGGUGUGAAUGAGUGAGUGAGUGAAUGAGGGAGUGAGUGAGUGAGGGAGUGAAUGAGGAGUGAGUGAGGGAGUGAGUGAGUGAGGGAGUGAAUGAGGGAGUGAGUGAGGGAGUGAAUGAGGGAGUGAAUGAGGGAGUGAAUCAGUGAGUGAAUGAGGGAGUGAGUGAGUGAGUGAGUGAAUGAGGGAGUGAGUGAGUGAGUGAAUGAGGGAGUGAGGGAGUUAGUGAGUGAGUAAAUGAGUGAGUGAGUGAGUGAGUGAGUGAGUGAGUGAGUGAAUGAGGGAGUGAAUGAGGGAGUGAAUGAAUGAGGGAGUGAAUGAGGGAGUGAGUGAGUGAGUGAGUGAAUGAGGGAGUGAAUGAGGGAGUGAGUGAGUGAGUGAGUGAAUGAGGGAGUGAGUGAGUGAGUGAGUGAAUGAGGGAGUGAGUGAGUGAGUGAAUGAGGGAGUGAGUGAGGGAGUGAGGGAGUGAGUGAGUGAGUGAGUGAAUGAGGGAGUGAAUGAGGGUGUGAAUGAGUGAGUGAGUGAAUGAGGGAGUGAGUGAGUGAGGGAGUGAGUGAGGGAGUGAGUGAGUGAGGGAGUGAAUGAGGGAGUGAGUGAGGGAGUGAGUGAGUGAGGGAGUGAAUGAGGGAGUGAGUGAAUGAGGGAGUGAAUGAGGGAGUGAAUGAGGGAGUGAGUGAGGGAGUGAAUGAGGGAGUGAAUGAGGGAGUGAAUGAGUGAGUGAGUGAGUGAGUGAGUGAGUGAAUGAGGGAGUGAGUGAAUGAGGGAGUGAAUGAGGGAGUGAAUGAGUGAGUGAAUGAGGGAGUGAG